rnacentral:misc_RNA from 1 species
GAUGAAGAACGUAGCGAAAUGCGAUACUUGGUGUGAAUUGCAGAAUCCCGUGAACCAUCGAGUCUUUGAACGCAAGUUGCGCCCGAAGCCAUAAGGCCGAGGGCACGCCUGCCUGGGCGUCACACGUCGUUGCCCCCCCAUCUACUCCUUCGGGAUUGCGGGGGGCGGAUGAUGGCCUCCCGUGCGCCUCGCCGCGCGGUUGGCAUAAAUGACAAGUCCUCGGCGACGCACGCCACGACAAUCGGUGGUUGCGAAACCUCGGUUGCCCGUCGUGUGCGGUCGUCGCGCAUCGAGGGCUCGAAAAAAUUGCCGGGUUCCGGCUCGGCUUUCAACGCGACGCCAGGUCAGGCGGGGUUACCCGCUGAAUUUAAGCAUAUCAAUAAGCGGAGGA